rnacentral:rRNA from 1 species
AACGUAGGUACCGAGCGUUAUCCGGAUUUACUGGGCGUAAAGCGUGUUCGGGCGGCCUGGCAAGUCGGGCAUGAAAUCUCUCGGCUCAACCGGGAGAGGUUGUCCGAUACUGCUGGACUUGAGGGCAGUAGAGGGUGGUGGAAUUCCGGGUGUAGUGGUGAAAUGCGUAGAUAUCCGGAGGAACACCAGUGGCGAAAGCGGCCACCUGGACUGCACCUGACGCUGACACGCGAAAGCUAGGGGAGCGAACGGG